UGACCUCGGAUCAGGUAGGGAUACCCGCUGAACUUAAGCAUAUCAAUAAGCGGAGGAAAAGAAACCAACAGGGAUUGCCUCAGUAACGGCGAGUGAAGCGGCAACAGCUCAAAUUUGAAAUCUGACCCCUUUGGGGCCCGAGUUGUAAUUUGUAGAGGGUGCUUUGGCGUUGGUUCCGGCCUAAGUUCCUUGGAACAGGACGUCACAGAGGGUGAGAAUCCCGUACGUGGCCGGCUUCCUCCGCCGUGUAAAGCCCCUUCGACGAGUCGAGUUGUUUGGGAAUGCAGCUCUAAAUGGGAGGUAAAUUUCUUCUAAAGCUAAAUAUUGGCCAGAGACCGAUAGCGCACAAGUAGAGUGAUCGAAAGAUGAAAAGCACUUUGGAAAGAGAGUCAAAAAGCACGUGAAAUUGUUGAAAGGGAAGCGCUUGCAGCCAGACUUGCCUGUAGUUGCUCAUCCGGGCUCUUGCCCGGUGCACUCUUCUACUGGCAGGCCAGCAUCAGUUUGGGCGGCCGGAUAAAGGCCUUGGGAAUGUAGCUCCCUCCGGGGAGUGUUAUAGCCCGGGGUGUCAUGCGGCCAGCCUGGACUGAGGUCCGCG
rnacentral:rRNA from 1 species